rnacentral:rRNA from 1 species
CGUCGAGUGGCGGACGGGUGAGUAAUACUUAGGAAUCUACCCAUUAGUGGGGGACAACUCGAGGAAACUCGAGCUAAUACCGCAUACGCCCUACGGGGGAAAGCGGAGGACCUUUCGGGGCUUCGCGCUAAUGGAUGAGCCUAAGUCGGAUUAGCUUGUUGGUGAGGUAAAGGCUCACCAAGGCGACGGUCCGUAGCUGGUCUGAGAGGACGAUCAGCCACACUGGGACUGAGACACGGCCCAG